rnacentral:sRNA from 1 species
UUAUUUUGGGUUAAGUAGCUUCUUUUCAGAGACAAGCCAUGUAAGAAGUAGCUAAUCAAUGAGUUCGUACUGAAGUCAAUGAUCUGGCUGGCAAGUAACUCCUCAAUUCAGCACAGAGACAAAUCUGAACUUAAUGUAAGGCACGACUCACUGUCACAAAUCAUCUUUCAAGGUACAGUCGAGGAAGCAAGAAGAAAGGGUCAAGGUACAGUCUAGGAAGCAAGAAGAAAGGGUCAAGGUACAGUCGAGGAAGCAAGAAGAAAGGGUCAAGGUACAGUCGAGGAAGCAAGAAGAAAGGGUCAAGGUACAGUCGAGGAAGCAAGAAGGAAGGGUCAAGGUGCUGACCAAGAAGAGUGGAGGAAUUUAUUUAUGCGAGCCGCCACAGCAUUCCUACAACCCAAGUCAGGGACUGAUGAAGAUAAAUGAAUAUAUUUUAUUUCGUAAUCAGAUACUAAGCUCAACCAUGCAGAUAAAAGUUGGUGCUUCAAGUUAAAAAGU